UUGAGAAACAUAAAAAUGGUGUUAAACAACCAGUGAUCGAAAUGUGUACCAAGUUUGGGUUCGUUAAAAGACUCAUUGUUUUUAGCAUAUAUUUAGUUUCUCCAAUAAAUGAUAACACAAUUAUUGGACAAGCUAAAUAUAUGCUAAAAACAAUGAGUCUUUAAAGUGACGAUUAUCUAUUCUUGUGGUUCUGCUUUCAUUGGAUUAAAUCAAAAUUUAAUUUUUAGAUCUGAGUUUCUUAAUCCUAAUUAUUGCAGCUGUAUUGCUCGUCCUAUGUUUGGUAUGUCCUUUGGAACUGUGAAGCUUUUGGACAUUGUACGCCAAGAUUAGCUCAGUUACAAAUACAAAAUCACUGACGGCUUCAUUGUAGACGAGGUAUAACUAAAUUUGAUCUAUAUGUGUUGUUGGCCAUAUCACAACUCUUUAGAUUUAUCUAGGUGGCGUAUAAUUGUAAUGCUGAGAAGCUUGGCAUUAGACGAGGAAAUGUGAUUAGGUUCUCCGAUGUGGACUCUUGCUACCUACCAGAGGUAACCAUCUCUAAUACCAGUGUAUCGAUUUAAUCUAGAUAUGAUUAUAGUUUAGAUUGUCAAUCCUUUUGAAUAAUUCGAAGAUUAUCUUCUCAAUGUUGGCUUGGAUUUCCUCGAUGGGGCUUGUGAGGUGAAUGAUUUCAAGGUUGAAGUUAAUGAUCUCGUUGCAAAGGCUAAGAGAGCCAUCAUUCUGCCCUUGGAGAUCACUUGUGGUUCUGAAUAUUGAGCAGACGAAAUGUUGUGUGGCAAUUGGGAUUCAGACAAUUUCCAGUUUUUAGAGCUGGCCUACUCGGCUAUUCCAAAGAGUAUGUGAAGCGGGUGACUGAAUUGUCCAUCAUGCUAGUUGAACUCAUAAACAAAAAGUCAGGAUUCACUUGUAAGUAGAUGACAGAAGGAAAGGCAGGGUUGCGAACAAAUCCCACAUUCACGUCGCCAUUGCCAAAUCUUUGAGGGUGACAUGCGG